UACGAAGGGGGCUAGCGUUGCUCGGAAUCACUGGGCGUAAAGCGCACGUAGGCGGACUUUUAAGUCAGGGGUGAAAUCCUGGAGCUCAACUCCAGAACUGCCUUUGAUACUGGAAGUCUUGAGUUCGAGAGAGGUGAGUGGAACUGCGAGUGUAGAGGUGAAAUUCGUAGAUAUUCGCAAGAACACCAGUGGCGAAGGCGGCUCACUGGUCCGGUACUGACGCUGAGGUGCGAAAGCGUGGGGAGCAAACAGG
rnacentral:rRNA from 1 species